CCUACGGGAGGCAGCAGUGGGGAAUAUUGCACAAUGGGGGAAACCCUGAUGCAGCGACGCCGCGUGAGUGAAGAAGUAAUUCGUUAUGUAAAGCUCUAUCAGCAGGGAAGAAAAUGACGGUACCUGAGUAAGAAGCCCCGGCUAACUACGUGCCAGCAGCCGCGGUAAUAAGUAGGGGGCAAGCGUUAUCCGGAUUUACUGGGUGUAAAGGGAGCGUAGACGGCAGUGCAAGUCUGGAGUGAAAGGCGGGGGCUCAACCCCCGGACUGCUCUGGAAACUGGACGGCUGGAGUGCAGGAGAGGUAAGUGGAAUUCCUAGUGUAGCGGUGAAAUGCGUAGAUAUUAGGAGGAACACCAGUGGCGAAGGCGGCUUACUGGACUGUAACUGACGUUGAGGCUCGAAAGCGUGGGGAGCAAACAGGAUUAGAUACCCGGGUAGUC
rnacentral:rRNA from 1 species